CCUACGGGAGGCAGCAGUGAGGAAUAUUGGUCAAUGGACGAGAGUCUGAACCAGCCAAGUAGCGUGAAGGAUGACUGCCCUAUGGGUUGUAAACUUCUUUUAUAUGGGAAUAAAAUGUUCCACGUGUGGGAUUUUGUAUGUACCAUAUGAAUAAGGAUCGGCUAACUCCGUGCCAGCAGCCUCGAUAAUACGGAGGCUCCGAGCGUUAGCCGGAUUUAUUGGGUUUAAAGGGAGCGUAGGUGGAUUGUUAAGUCAGUUGUGAAAGUUUGCGGCUCAACCGUAAAAUUGCAGUUGAAACUGGCAGUCUUGAGUACAGUAGAGGUGGGCGGAAUUCGUGGUGUAGCGGUGAAAUGCUUAGAUAUCACGAAGAACUCCGAUUGCGAAGGCAGUUCACUGGACUGCAACUGACACUGAGGCUCGAAAGUGUGGGUAUCAAACAGGAUUAGAUACCCGAGUAGUC
rnacentral:rRNA from 1 species